rnacentral:rRNA from 1 species
CCUACGGGUGGCAGCAGUAGGGAAUAUUGCUCAAUGGGGGAAACCCUGAAGCAGCAACGCCGCGUGGAGGAUGAAGGUUUUCGGAUUUGAAACUCCUUUUGUUAGAGAAGAUAAGGACGGCAUGUAACGAAUAAUCACUGGCCAACACCGUGCAAGCAGCCGCGGUAAUACGGAGGGUGCAAGCGUUACUCGGAAUCACCGGGCGUAAAGGGGGCGUAGGCGGGAUAGCAAGUCAGAUGUGAAAUCCUAUGGCUUAACCGUAGAACUGCAUUUGAAACUGUUAGUCUAGAGUAUGGGAGAGGUAGGUGGAAUUCGUGGUGUAGGGGUAAAAUCCGUAGAGAUCAAGAGGAAUACUGAUUGCGAAGGC